AUUGAACGCUGGCGGCAUGCUUUACACAUGCAAGUCGAACGGCAGCGGGGGCUUCGGCCCGCCGGCGAGUGGCGAACGGGUGAGUAAUGCAUCGGAACGUGCCCAGUCGUGGGGGAUAACACAUCGAAAGAUGUGCUAAUACCGCAUACGUCCUGAGGGAGAAAGCGGGGGAUCUUCGGACCUCGCGCGAUUGGAGCGGCCGAUGUCGGAUUAGCUAGUUGGUGGGGUAAAAGCCCACCAAGGCGACGAUCCGUAGCGGGUCUGAGAGGAUGAUCCGCCACACUGGGACUGAGACACGGCCCAGACUCCUACGGGAGGCAGCAGUGGGGAAUUUUGGACAAUGGGGGCAACCCUGAUCCAGCCAUGCCGCGUGAGUGAAGAAGGCCUCGGU
rnacentral:rRNA from 1 species